rfam:Trypanosoma cruzi marinkellei strain B7 TcMARK_CONTIG_14141, whole genome shotgun sequence.
GGCGCUCUGUGCGCCUGAUGCUCCGCCGCGUGACUAUCCCGUUAUGCAUAUCCUGUGUGCGCUCUAGCUCCAUCGGGGCCCUGAUGAGUCAGCAACAAACCAUGCAUUACACAUUUUGC